UAAUUCGAAAACGUCCGAAAAAUAUAAAAAUCAAGAAAAAGACAUAAAAUACCUCAAAAAAUUCCUGAAUCGCACUAGUGACCUUAGAAUAUCGAUACGAAUAGAAUAUCAAAAUUUCACAUUUUUUCGUGACUGCUCGAAAAAUAUCAAAAAAAAUAAUUUGUAAACGUCCGAAAGAUAUAAAAAUCAAUAAAAAGACAUAAAAAUAACUCAAAAAAUUCCUGAAUCGCACUAGUCACCAUAUAAUAUCGAUACGAAUAAAAUAUCAAAAUUUAACAAUUUUAGUGACUGCCUAGAAAAUAUCAAAAAUGUUAAUUAGUAAACGUCCGAAAAAAAUAAAAAUCAAGAAAAAGAAAUAAAAUACCGAAAAAAAUACCUAAAUCGCAUCAGUCACCUUAGAAUAUCGAUAAGAAUAAAAUAUCAAAAUUUCACAUUUUUACGUGACCGCCUGAAAAAUAUCAAAAAUUUUAAUCUGUAAACGUCCAAAAAAUAAAAAAAUAAAAAUAAAAGACAUAAAAACACCUAAGAAAAUUCCCGAAUCGCACCUGUCACCAU
rnacentral:lncRNA from 1 species